UACGUAGGGGCCUAGCGUUGUCCGGAAUUACUGGGCGUAAAGCGCACGUAGGCGGAUUGUUAAGUCGGGGGUGAAAUCCUGGAGCUCAACUCCAGAACUGCCUUCGAUACUGGCGAUCUCGAGUUCGGGAGAGGUGAGUGGAACUGCGAGUGUAGAGGUGAAAUUCGUAGAUAUUCGCAAGAACACCAGUGGCGAAGGCGGCUCACUGGCCCGAUACUGACGCUGAGGUGCGAAAGCGUGGGGAGCAAACAGG
rnacentral:rRNA from 1 species